rnacentral:rRNA from 1 species
UACGAAGGGGGCUAGCGUUGCUCGGAAUUACUGGGCGUAAAGGGCGCGUAGGCGGCCGCCUAAGUCAGACGUGAAAUCCCUCGGCUCAACCGGGGAACUGCGUCUGAUACUGGGUGGCUUGAAUCCGGGAGAGGGAUGCGGAAUUCCAGGUGUAGCGGUGAAAUGCGUAGAUAUCUGGAGGAACACCGGUGGCGAAGGCGGCAUCCUGGACCGGUAUUGACGCUGAGGCGCGAAAGCCAGGGGAGCAAACGGG